rnacentral:rRNA from 1 species
CAGCGCCACAAGUGGCAAUCGCGAUUAUUGGGCCUAAAGCGUUCGUAGCCGGUUCGGCAAAUCUUUUGUGAAAGCGUCAGGCUUAACUUGACGAGUUGCAGAAGAAACUACCGAACUAGGAACCGGGAGGAGUCAGAAGUAUUCCGGGGGGACCGGUAAAAUGGUAUAAUCCCCGGAGGACUACCGAUGGCGAAGGCAUCUGACCAGAACGGAUUCGACGGUGAGGAACGAAAGCCAGGGGAGCAAACCGGAUUAGAUACCCGUGUAGUCC